rnacentral:tRNA from 1 species
GGACGCUUAGCUCAGUUGGCCAGAGCACCACCUUGACAUGGUGGGGGCCACAGGUUCAAGUCCUGUAGCGUCCACCA